GCACUACUGACAAGUCCCAAACAGGACGAGACAGCUGUCCGGUGC
rnacentral:hammerhead_ribozyme from 1 species